rnacentral:lncRNA from 1 species
GGAAGCAUAUCCGGUACGUGAACAGACCCGCCAUACACCUGCAGUAUAUAAGGCGUCUACAAACAAGCAAGUCGAUAGGAAGAAGAUCAUAGAAAAUUCUAUCCUGAUAUCAGAGCAAAGUACAAGUCACAAAGACUAUCAACAAGAGGGCAAAGAGAACAUAAACCAAAAUCUCAACUAAAAGAGAAAGUAACAUGACUAUAGUGACUGUCCAAAAAGUACAUAUACAUCACGGGGUAUACAAAAAUAGGUACAAUGGUAGUCUCUCUAUACAAAGGGACAUCACCCUCGGCCGUAGCCCGAGUAGCAAGGUGAUCGACUAGCACGCUCCUAGUAGUCCCUAGCUAGGCGCGACUCCCUUGCCACGAUCCCUAGCCUCUCCUAUAGAUGGCUCUGUAAAAACAACCACCAAAAGGGCGUGAGAACUAUUAACAAUAGUUCCCAGUGGGUAAGCCGCCAGCCUCGGCGAAUUACACCACUAGGCUCAUGAUGUACUAAUUGAAAGCAAAAACGAUAAUUGCAUGAUUUAUAAGCAUGAUGCUAACAAGUAAUAAGCAUGUAAUCAACAUGUAAUAGCAUUCUACAGUAAUGAAUCAUUUGCAUAAUAGGGAUAUGGCAAUUUCUAUAAUCAUGAACAUAAGCAUGAAUAUAAGCACGAACAUGAAAGUGACUACUGUACACUUUAAUUAAUAAGCAUUCAUUACUGUCCUUUUUCAUUG